rnacentral:lncRNA from 1 species
UAUUCUCACAAUGACAUCUCCAGGUCUUCAAACGGAAGACUACGACACAAAUGGCCUGCCUUCACCGUGCUGCAAUUUCUUCAACAGGUAACUUGCUUAGCCUGUGCUACGUAUUCAUACUGCACGUGGAUGUCACUGAAUGUCCUUUCUCUUCCAAUACAUAUCUGUAUCUAAAAGCACACGGUUUGCUUGCAGAUUUUCUUCCUUCCCUUCUCCUCCCUAUGGGAAGCUGCCCACUCCACCCCGAAAACACUGUCCCCCAAAGCAAGGGGACGCGCUGCACCCUCGGCUGUCACCGCGAGGGCUCGGCGCGCAUGCGCGGCGCGAGCGGCCGGGCCCCACAGCCGCAGGUCGUUGGUAAGGCGGGUCCGCGGACCCCAGGUCGAGCCCAGCGGCAGUGCAGGAUCGCAAGCGGCCCGGCACCGGCGCCGCAGCUGUCUCUCUUUUGGCCUGCUGCCAUCCGCGUAAGACAUGACUUACUCCUCCGUGCCUUCCACCAUGAUUGUGAGGCUUCCCCAGCCAUGAGGAACUAAUACCCAUCCCAUAGAUGUACUUGGGAUAGACAGCUUCUGGCACUCCUCCCAAGAUCUCUCCCUCCUGGUAUUCAGGCCCUUGUGUGAUCCUUUCCUCUUGAGUGUGGGUUGGGCCUGGUGACCCACUUCUAACAGAAGAUGGGAAAACUGAUGGAUUAUCACUUCUUUGUUAAGGUUACAAAAACCUGAGACUUCCAUUUUGCUGGAAACUUCUUUUCCUCUUGCACACUCACUCUGCGACUCUGUGUGGAGAGCUCCAUGUGACAAGGGAGGUCUGCAGCCUAAGCAACUGAGACCUCAGCCCAACAGCCCUCAAAGAACUGGAUCUUCAAACAACCACAUGAGUGACCUAGAAGCAAAUCUGUCACCAGUGCUCUUGAGACGGGCUGAAGUAUUUAAUCACCGGCACAAAAUGUCCCAGUGUUCUGUUCUCCUGCUGUGGAAAUUUUAGAGAAAAGAUCAUGAUCUAAGAGUCUACAAGACCAGAGCAGCCUGAAUUGCUGAGCUGCCUGGUGGAGAAUAGCAGCAUUGGGUGGUUCCCAGGAUUCUUAAAAGGACUUUACAAAGGCCUGGCCUAAUCACUUAAGAGCUCUUAAGGAGUGAAUGGGCUCUUCCUGAAAAAAGAGCUUCUGCUAACCCUGAAAAGCAAGCAACAACCCUGUGAACUGCUAUGGAGAGAGAUGGCCUCUAACAGCUGAGGACCUCAGUCCUACAACCACAAGAAACUGAUUUCUGCCAACAACAUGAAUGAACUUGGAAAAGGCCCCUGAGCUCCAGAUGAGAACACCCAGGUCAACUCAGGUCAUGAGCAGAGAACCCUGUUAUAUUCUCCUUGGCUUGUGAUCCAUAAACAAUGAGAUUAUAAAUGUGUGGUUUUUAAGCCAUUAGGUUUGUGGUAACUUGUUACACAAGCCUCUUUUAGAUUCUUUACAUACACAAAUAUAUUCUAAACGAAUAAUGAGUCUUCCUUUCCCAUCUUUAUACCAUUUACUUCUUAUUCUUCCCUUACCGCUUUAAGACCUCUAGUAUAAAGUUGACUAGAAAAGGUGGUAGUGGCAUUAUUGUGUAGUUCUUUAUAUCAAAGGGAAGAUUUUCAAUGUUUUCAUGUUAAGUAUGACAUUUACUGUAGGUUUUUCAUAGAUGCUCUUUAAUCAGUUUAAGCAAUUCUUGUCUAUCCCUAGAAUUAUUGUCAGGAAUAAAUGUUGACUUUUAUCGAACACUGUUUCUGCACCUUUUAAAAAUAUCAUAUUUUUUCCUUCAAAUGGUUACUGUGUUGAAUUAUAUUAGCAGACAUUCUAAUGUUAAAGUAACCUAUCAUUCCAGAGAAAAGGAGGUGAGAAUAGCAGUUUAGUUAUGAUGCUGUAUCCCUUUUAUAAAUUCUUGGAUGCAAUUUGCCAAUAUUUGGUCUAAGAUUUUUGCAUUAUGUUAAUGACUGGAAAUGAGUCUUAAUUUUCCUUUAUUUUUCUGGCUUCUUUGUGUUUCGAUAUCAAGAAUAUGCAAGUCUCAUGCAAUAAAUUCUAUGGAAGAGUU